rnacentral:rRNA from 1 species
AUGUGUCUCACGCAAGGUCCUUUUUCUACUAGUGUUUGGAUAGUGUUUCAGGUAUGCAUCUUGCUUUGUGCACAAGCUGUUACAUAUUUAGGUGUGCGUACAUGUUCAAAUGCUAAUUUAUUCACCCUAAGUUUAGCCUGCAUGGUACUUUCUAGGGCCCUUUGCUGGAGGAGUAUCCAUCCAUGCUGCUUAACACGAGCCUUCAGAUUGUUUUUGCGACUGUUCAGUCUUUUUUAUGGCUCUAGUGAAGGAGAGAGACUUUUCAAGGUGGAAGCUGAGAUUGGAUGUACGUCUUGUCGCGAUCAUCCAUUGUUGUAA